AGGAGGCUCCACCAGCACACAGCGUGGACAUGAAGGCCCCUGCUCCUCUCCUGUGGUUCCUCCUGCUCGGGAUUGCAGGUGUCAAAUGUGACAUCCAGUUGACCCAGUCACCAUCCGUAUCGGCAUCUCUGGGAGACAGAGUCGCCAUCACUUGCAGAGCCAGCCAGGGCAUUAGCAUUUGGUUACACUGGUAUCAGCAGAAACCAGGGAAAUCUCCAAAGCUCUUGAUAUAUAAAGCAUCCAAUUUGCAAUCUGGGGUUCCAUCGAGGUUCAGUGGCAGUGGAUCUGGGACAGAGUUCACUCUCACCAUCAGCAGCCUGCAGCCUGAAGAUGUUGCCACUUAUUACUGUCAGCAGAGUAAUAACUGGCCUCCCACAGUGAUACAAGUCAUAACAAAAACCUCCCAGGGAAGCAGAAGUGAGAGGCUGGGCUGCCCCAGCUGCUGACACAGCUUCUCAGAUGCAGCCAGACUUGUAAGAUCACUGGAAAGUGUUGGGAG